rnacentral:lncRNA from 1 species
AAGUCAAGCGCGCUACACUCUUUCGUAGUUAUUGUUGCUUCUAAAUGAGUGCUUACGUUAGGGCGGUAGGUUGCUUCUGUUUAUUACUAGUGAAAUGACUCAGCAGUAACAGACCUAAGCCAGUAGUCCAACAGCCCUACCGAUCUCAUUACAGAGGCCAAAAACAGGACUCUUUAGCUCCAGCCCUAUUGCCUCGCCUGGAGGAGUUUUCUACAUGUGUUUUCUUAUAGAGGAGAGUUUUCUAGCAUAUUAGUAUUUGCUUACAUCUUAGGGGUCGAAAAAGGACAAUUGUUUUCUCUUUUUGGUCUCGAAACUGCUAUUGUUUUCUUUGAAUUGGAUUUCGAAUAUCUAUGCAUGGGUCCCUAUCCCUAGUAUGAUAGGUAGUAUUUGCCUUAUUGGCUUGUUCAAACAAGCAAGAUAGUAUAUUAACAUUACUUAUAUCAAGCAAGAUAGUAUAUUAACAUUACUUAUAUUAUUCCACUAUGAACUGCAGAACUAAACUACUAAGUAGGCUACUAAGAAUCACUAGGCGAACCAAGCAAGCUGCAUAUGAAUCAAAGUAUAAAUAAUCAAUGGAAGGAUCAAUUCCGAGAGUGAAAGCAGAGGAACCCGUACUUCAAACUCUCAACUAGUUCUAUCGAGCACCCCUGGUAGAAUUAUGUUACCUAUAAGAAAAACCACUUGAUUUGAGAAAUGAACUGCUAAGCAAAUAACUACAAUACAAUUGAAAGUGCAAUUCCGUUUCAAAAGUCAUAAUACAUCCAGCAAUUAUACACCUAGCAAGAAAGAGGUAAAGAGAAGAGGGCAAAGAUGACAUGGCACAAGUAAAGUAACAAUCACAUCAUAAGAUAGUUUGUACCAAGUAACAAUCACAUAAGAUAGUUUUUCCCCAGUGCUUUUGAUUAGGCUCCAAAUGAAUUAGAACAGCCAACAAUGUAAAAGAAGGAUAGGGAAUUGGACAUUAACCCCUUCAAACCUCUGUUCAACGACUCGAAAAGGCCUUAUUGCCGACUCCUCCACAAGGCGGCUCACGUCCGUCCGAACUUCAUAAGCAUUGACCCCAUAAGCGUUAACCCCGAACUAAACUAUAGGACUGGUCGGUCUAACGCACUGCUUCUUCUCGGCUUAGCUGACUUAGCUUAUUAAUGAAACUCUUUUAUGCUUCUUCUCGGCUUAGCUUAUUAAUUCCACCAUUCUUUUAUGCUUCUGAUCUCGUGGACAAUAAGGGUAAAGCACCAAUAACUGAUUGAUUUAGGACAUAAAAGCAACUACUAUUUGUCUAUUACUUGCCUAGUCUCUUCUUACACAGUGAAAACAGCUACAAGAAAAAGAAAUACAAACAGCAGUUGUCGAUAGGGAGAUAGAGAGUCGGUAAAGAAGGAGCAACACUGGCGCGUAACAUUAGUAUGGUUGAUGUAGGCAAGCAGUAAGCCUUAGUUCUUUGUUUGCUUCUUAUAGGUAUUGGGUCAAUUCCUUGUUAAGGUAAGGGCGAAAUGCACUGGAUUCUCUUACGACCCCUUGAAAAACGAUUAUGAUAUAUACAACCAUUAUUCCCUGACUUGAGAGUUGGAUUACGUAUUCCUUGUAGAAUUCUAAUACUAGUAUUUUCUAGUAAAGAGGGUAGGAGUCACCCAAACAAGUCAGAAUGCCAGGAAGGAAGGUAAGGCCGAGGUAGGUAAGCCAAAGAGUUUACGUGGGGAUAUAGUUAGAAUCAAAGUCCGGUCAGUAAGCCUGUUUUGUUUGUCAGUACUGUUUGCCACCAGUUGUUUCUUAUAGUUAAAGGACAUAGACCACCAGUUGUUUUCUUAUAGUUAAAGGACAUAGACUAGGUCGGGAGUGACAAAGUGAGAAAGUGCCCCCCCAUUCGAAUUCUUUGGUUUGAGCACGAGCCUGCGUAGUAUCAAAUCAGAGCUAGCGUACGAUCUAGCACAUCCAGAUUAAUGGUAAAACAAAGAACUAGGUAUAAUAGUCAAACAAAUAAUAUAGAAGAACUUGUAAGGCUUUCAGCUCCUUAUAGCUGCCCUUGCAUGCUUGCUUGUUAGUUAGGUCCUCAUUGCUCGGUCUACCGUUCCUGGGUUUCAAGUAUGAGUUUCCUUGGGUUCACUCUCCCUUUGAUGUUAUGAAUUAAGUAUUCUGUUCACUAUUAUUGAGAACUUCCAUACAAAAACAAAUACAGGCCUACUACCUAUAAGAAGCAAACUCGAAAAUACAGAUUCACUACACCUACUAAAAAGGACUCGCACUAAAAAUAGAGAAGUUCACUUACCUGGUUAAGGCUUCCUUUCUUUGCUCGCCAACACACCUAGUUAUCAUUCUCUAGCAGCUGGUCCGGACCCUUGCUUCACUGGCUCUAGGCUUCUACUGUUUACGAUCAGGUAAUUAUUUCAAUAUCUCUAACAGUACCAACUUGAAUCAUGCCUAAAUAGUGUUUCCUAAACUCAAUCUUACCGAAGUCGUAUUUCCUAUCAUAGAGAAAGUUUCUGUUAGGUUCUUUCUUAUCAAUUAGAGGCCUCGGCCAUGAAUCAUACCUAAAUCAUAAUGUAAAUAGUGUUUCCUCAACUCAAUCGUACCGAUCAAUCCGUUUUACACCCGAAAUCCAACACUCAAUAAUUGUACUUUCAAAUAGGAGUUGGGAAUGCAAUACAGGAGUGAGGGCGGGUCAGUUGGAAAGCAAGCAAAGACUGCUUUUGUUGAAAAAAAGGAAGAAUCCUAAUCAGUAGUUAGAGAAAGCAAGUGGGGAGUUUCAGAGCAAGAAUAAGUCCUACGGUGAGUAGUUGAUUUCCCAGUUCUUUGUUUGGGCCUUACUUAUAAAGGUGGUUUUUCAGCCCUGUUAUCCGUAGUUCGAGCCCUGUUAUCAGUAUAGUGGUACUCGACUUAAGGCCAACUGACUUAUAAUAGACCCAGGCCCCUUCAUAGUGAAAGAAAUAGUAGUAUUGAGUUGCAGAACAAGAGACAGGUAGUUACAAUCUGAGUUCCGAGUUUGGUUUCAAUGAACCCAUCUUGCUAUAGAAGUAAGGCUUUAACCAAUGCUUGCCUCCCUGCGCCCUAAUUAGACUUUGCAUUCUGUAUUUGGCAUCUAAACCCACACCUCCGCCUUGGAUUCUUUGGUUAACCCUGUAGCUACUUAAUAUAAGUAUCGAUGCCCUGCGCUUCCGUCCAUAUCUACCUGGUUUCAAACUCACAACUGUGCCUAACGACCUGAACUCUAACAACUGGGAAUCCACCUACAACAUUGGAAUCAACUACUAACCAUCGGAAUGGAACUAUUGCUUCUCAUCAUUAAGCUUAUAGUUAGCCUCCCUUUACUUGCUUGAAUUCUACCUUUGUGCUUGGCAACCUAUAGUACUAAUAUACUCGGCGCGAACUGCAACUAACUGGACUAUAGCUCUCAACUUUGAAUGAAACCCAAGACGGAUACCAAGACCUUAGCUCAGAACUUAGACUGGAGCUACUAUCUCGCUCGUUAGCUCCCGCUCCUCUAUCUCAAACUUACAAUGCUUUAGCUCAUUCCAAAACUACUAACUAAGGGUCUGCCACUCCCUUCUUGACAGAGACACCUGAAUAUACCCCUUUGCAUUGUAUACAUCUGAAUAUAUCUAUAAUUACCAUCAUUUCGAUACACCCAACUCUUUCCACCUUUCCAAUUCC